AUGCAUUUGACAUAGCCACUUUGAUCCGUGAUCGAGUCAAUGUUAACUCCUGAAAUCUCGGCUAUGAAAGAAAUCUCGGCUAAGAUCUUUCAUUAUGGCCGGCCUAUAUUACGUCAAUACCACAUAUCAUUCAUCCCCAAAAAAAUACUGUAACUUUAUUGUCAUCAUCUGAUCAUUCUUGGUGACUAUCCUUUUCCUGGUCUUCCACGAACACCCCUGCUACUCAAAACAGGUAAAACACCCUGAUUAUCCUUUAUAUCUCUCUUUUGUUAUGCCGUGAGUUCAAGCUGAUUAAAGAUAUAAUCAAAGCAAAAAUGAUGAAUAUUGAAGUCAAGCUGAUUGGAGGUCUAACCUAAUCUUUCUGGAUAUGUUGAGUUACAGGUUUUUGUGAUUUUUUUCGAUUUUUUGUGUGUUUCGGAUGGUACUAUGUUUCUUUGCUUUGUAUUUUCGGUUUCAGGAUUUGGAGCUUCUCCAUGGUUAAUUAGUUUGUCCCUAAUUUGUAUCCCUUUAUGGUAAGAUUUUUCCCAAAGCAUGAAUAGAAUUCCGAAGUUUUUAAUCUAAUCUUAGUUCUUCUUGAUUUAGUUCUUACUUUAGUUUUGUCAUGAAUCAUGCCCACGAAUAUGAAUCACGUGGUAAUCAAACCAUGAUUUCUCCUAAAUAACCAUCAAAUAUCCUAAUCAACCUUAUCGGAGGCUUUACAUGGAUAAAGAAAGUAUUUGAUAAGAUCCAUACAUAUAUUUUUAAGUUCCAGGUUAAUUAAAUGUAAUUUGUUACACUGGUUGAUGCAGGACUACAUAAACUACAAGAGGUACAUAUAUUUAAGGCUUGAUGGAUCCUCAACCAUAAUGUAUCGUCUGGACAUGGUUGGCUCGAAGUUUGCAAAAGCUUCCUUUCCGGUGCUUAAAACGAUGUUGGUAUUGGUUUCAUAUUGCAUAACAAUAAAUUUUAACUUUCAACUUUUAUUCUUAGUUGAUAGUUCUAAAAUCACUUCAUAUGGUUGUAAGUAUGACUGGUACAAAGCACGAUGAUUUAAGAAAAGAAUUUCACCUAACAAGAAGACCCUAAUAUCAUUUACAGAUGUUGCAUCUAUGAUGGGCCUUCAACAAUGAAGGAAAUGGCUAAUUUGUGGAACUAUGUAUUUUUGGUGAGAAGUGGGUUAAAAAUGGUGAAAAACUAAAAAUUAGCAAUCCUGUUAACUCUCUUCAUUUUUUACUUUUACACUUUUUUCCAUAGGAUCAUGUGUUUAUGAUGAUUAUAUGGUGUGGUCCCAUCUCAAAGAUCCAAGACACCUUCCAUUUGCAUAUGUCUCGAAUUAGUUUGGUACUAUUUUACGGGCAUGGAACCUAUUUAACAUUGUUAUAUUUGGUGUUUUCCAAUGUCCCAAGCUUUUGCACUUCCCCUGUUUAAGCAAACAUCAGUGGUUCCUGAUACGUUAUAAUAAAUUAGAAAUGAUUUAUUUUCAACACAAUGAAUCUAACAUAUGAAAACAUCUAUCCAACAUACACAAAAACGAUGAAUAUAUUAAACAUUAUUUGUCAAAAAGAAAAUGAAUCGCUGAAUUGAAACUAAUGUUUAUUGAUACUUGCCAAUAAAUUCUCUUAUUUUUAACGACAUGUUUUCGAAUGA